rnacentral:lncRNA from 1 species
UUCUGUUGCGUCCUGCCAAAAGGCUGAACGGGAGUCGCCGGAAGUACUGUAGCUUGCCAGAAAUCCUCACCGGAAAAAUCCUUGCCGGAAAAAUAAGGCACCUGUCCAAGAAAACAGAACACACCCACAAACCCACAAAAAGCAGAAGAGAGAAUAGAAAGAAAAGAGCAGGGGUCGCCAGACAAAAUCGCCGACGAAAAGCAAGAAUUAAAAAUAACUGAUUGGAGAAUCUUAGAAAAUUGCACCCCGAGCAAAUUGUAUUGAAGUUUGAGCUGUUCUAAGCUUAAAGUUUGAAACUUUACUGAUUUCUUGAACUAGAUUACCAAGUAAUAAAAUAAAUUGAUUUCAAAUUCUUACUUGUUAGUUGUAGUAUAUCAGAAAUCGUAAAUUGUUAACUUAACUAAUUAGAUAGAAUUAGGCAAAUACUUAGAUCUAUGCCUUUCGCAACAUCGGCAGCAAAUAACAAACAAAAUAAACUUUGAAAAAAUCAAAAAGAAAUUGGGUUGAGGAUUUCUAGAUGCAGUAAGAGUAGACAAAGAAAGAGUAGAAGGAAUUAAUACCUGAUAUGUUUUACCAAUUACAGGAACAACUUUAAUUAGGGUUUCUCCGGAUAGUGGAUAGAGACAGAAAGAGAGAGGAGGGAGAGAGAGAGGAGAAAAUACG